rnacentral:rRNA from 1 species
GAUGAACGCUGGCGGCGUGCUUAACACAUGCAAGUCGAACGAUGAAGCCCAGCUUGCUGGGUGGAUUAGUGGCGAACGGGUGAGUAACACGUGAGUAACCUGCCCUUAACUCUGGGAUAAGCCUGGGAAACUGGGUCUAAUACCGGAUAGGAGCGCCUACCGCAUGGUGGGUGUUGGAAAGAUUUAUCGGUUUUGGAUGGACUCGCGGCCUAUCAGCUUGUUGGUGAGGUAAUGGCUCGCCAAGGCGACGACGGGUAGCCGGCCUGAGAGGGUGACCGGCCACACUGGGACUGAGACACGGCCCAGACUCCUACGGGAGGCAGCAGUGGGGAAUAUUGCACAAUGGGCGAAAGCCUGAUGCAGCGACGCCGCGUGAGGGAUGACGGCCUUCGGGUUGUAAACCUCUUUCAGUAGGGAAGAAGCGAAAGUGACGGUACCUGCAGAAGAAGCACCGGCUAACUACGUG